UACAGAGGGUGCAAGCGUUAAUCGGAUUUACUGGGCGUAAAGGGCGCGUAGGUGGUUGCGUAAGUGAGUUGUGAAAUCCCCGGGCUUAACCUGGGAAACUGCAACUUAUACUGCGUAGCUGGAGUGCAAUAGAGGGUAGUGGAAUUUCCGUGUAGCGGUGAAAUGCGUAGAUAUCAGGAGGAACACCGGUGGCGAAGGCGGGUCUCUGGGCCGAUACUGACGCUGAGGAGCGAAAGCGUGGGGAGCGAACAGG
rnacentral:rRNA from 1 species